GCUGAGGCGGAGAGACACUGCAGCCGCCGCCAUGACCAGCAGCAUGUGAAGACGCCGGGAGCUGAGGAAACCCUGAACGAGCAUUCUGAGAGGAUGAGUAUCUUGACAUGGCCAUCAUCCUGGUGAGGACUGCAAGGCCAAUUGACCCAUGGGAAAGUGGCAAAGCCCUUAUCCACACCGGCCAGGCUCAAGGUGUUUACAGCUGGAGACUGCUGGCCAAGAGAGACCUCCUACCAAGACAUAAUGUGAUCCUGCUGCCUUGCCGCCCCGACCAUGAUGGACUGGACCGGGGAUAUGAGCUCCAAU